rnacentral:rRNA from 1 species
UACGGAGGAUCCGAGCGUUAUCCGGAUUUAUUGGGUUUAAAGGGUGCGCAGGCGGGGGAUUAAGUCGGCGGUGAAAUUUUGCAGCUCAACUGUAAAAGUGCCGUUGAUACUGUGAGGCUAGGAUUUGGUUGCUGUGGGUGGAAUGUGUGGUGUAGCGGUGAAAUGCUUAGAGAUCACACAGAAUAUCGAUUGCGAAGGCAGCUCACAAAGCCAAGAUUGACGCUGAGGCACGAAAGUGUGGGGAUCAAACAGGAUUAGA